rnacentral:rRNA from 1 species
AUGGACGGCCGCGCCGGAGGGUUCUCCCCCGUGCAGAUCACGCCGAGGGUGAACACGGCCAGGAUGUCCGCCAUGUUGGCCGGGUCACGGAUGUGCUCGUCGACCACGUCGCUGAACGGAGGGCCUUUCUGGUACCGCCGCCACGCCCACUCCGCCAGGCAGAAGUCGGCGCCGCCGUCGUUCGCGACCUUGCCGGUGAUCAGCUCCAGCAGAACCACACCGAAGCUGUAA